rnacentral:misc_RNA from 1 species
AACUGAUACUACCUGCGGGAACCUGCGGAAGGAUCAUUAAUGAGAAACUGCCCCUCGCGGGUAGAUCUCCCACCCUUUGUAAACUUACCUUUGUUGCUUUGGCAGGCCCGUCUCCGGACCGCCGGCUUCGGCUGGCCAGUGCCUGCCAGAGGAUUCUAAAACUCUGUCUGUCAGUGUUGUCUGAGUCUAUAUACAAUCGUUAAAACUUUCAGCAACGGAUCUCUAGAUCGGAAGAGCACA